rnacentral:rRNA from 1 species
CCAAGUCAGGUGGGACUACCGCUGAGCUUAGCAUAUCAUAGCGGAGGAAG